AACGAACGCUGGCGGCAUGCCUAACACAUGCAAGUCGAACGAAGUCUUCGGACUUAGUGGCGCACGGGUGCGUAACGCGUGGGAAUCUGCCCUUGGGUACGGAAUAACUCAGAGAAAUUUGUGCUAAUACCGUAUAAUGUCUUCGGACCAAAGAUUUAUCGCCCAAGGAUGAGCCCGCGUAAGAUUAGCUAGUUGGUGGGGUAAAAGCCUACCAAGGCGACGAUCUUUAGCUGGUCUGAGAGGAUGAUCAGCCACACUGGGACUGAGACACGGCCCAGACUCCUACGGGAGGCAGCAGUGGGGAAUAUUGGACAAUGGGCGAAAGCCUGAUCCAGCAAUGCCGCGUGAGUGAUGAAGGCCUUAGGGUUGUAAAGCUCUUUUACCAGGGAUGAUAAUGACAGUACCUGGAGAAUAAGCUCCGGCUAACUCCGUGCCAGCCGCCGCGGUAA
rnacentral:rRNA from 1 species